rnacentral:rRNA from 1 species
AUUGAACGCUGGCGGCAUGCCUUACACAUGCAAGUCGAACGGUAACGGGCCUUCGGGUGCCGACGAGUGGCGCACGGGUAAGUAAUACAUCGGAACGUGCCCGAUCGUGGGGGAUAACGAGGCGAAAGCUUUGCUAAUACCGCAUACGAUCUACGGAUGAAAGCAGGGGACCGCAAGGCCUUGCGCGGACGGAGCGGCCGAUGGCAGAUUAGGUAGUUGGUGGGAUAAAAGCUUACCAAGCCGACGAUCUGUAGCUGGUCUGAGAGGAUGAUCAGCCACACUGGGACUGAGACACGGCCCAGACUCCUACGGGAGGCAGCAGUGGGGAAUUUUGGACAAUGGGCGCAAGCCUGAUCCAGCCAUGCCGCGUGCAGGAUGAAGGCCUUCGGGUUGUAAACUGCUUUUGUACGGAACGAAAAGCCUUCUUUUAAUACAGGAGGGUCAUGACGGUACCGUAAGAAUAAGCACCGGCUAACUACGUG